GAGGGUAUAGUUCAGUGGUAGAGUGCGUGCUUAGCAUGCACGAGGUCCUGGGUUCAAUCCCCAGUCCCUCCU
rnacentral:tRNA from 1 species